GUCAGCCUGACUGGGCUUCCUGGAGAGGGUGUAGACUCUCAGGAGGAGUUCUAAAGUCAUCCAUUCUGCGUGGUCAAGACUCCAAGGGCCAGCGAGAGAAGGAAGUAAAACAAAAAAAUCUGUUCUUGCUUCAUACCUCCAGGCAAAGUUGAGAAAUAAAUUCCAUGUUUUGAGA